rnacentral:RNase_P_RNA from 1 species
GCGGCAGACCGCUCUAUCGCUCCGGACGGCUUUUUCUUCGGAAGAAGUCCCGGGGAGGAAAGUCCGGGCAACAAAGGGCGCCAUGCUUCCUAACGGGAAGUCAGGUGAAAGCCUGAAGCGACGUAACAGAAAAUAACCGUUCAAGGGAUGGUUCAUUCCGCGAAUAAGGGUGAAAAGGUGCGGUAAGAGCGCACCGGCGGAUUGGUGACAAUUCCGGCCGUACGACUCAUGGGUUGCAAGACCAAAUAUAUCCCGGUCCUUCGGGGCAAAGCGGCCCGCUUUGCUGCCCGGGGCCAAUGGCCCAAGGCUGCCGGGAGGGGUAGGUUGCUGGAUCCCGUCAGCAAUGGCGGGACAAGAUAAAUGAUAGGGGUCCGGUGAUUUUUAAUCCCGGAAACAGAACCCGGCUUACAGGUCUGCCAUUUUU